AGGAUCGGGUGGUCCCUCGUCGUCUAAUUUUUUGAAAAACUUGUCGCGAAGUUCUGCGAUCGCCUUCGUGUGCGUUUCCAUCUUCCUUACGUCAGGCUAGUGACCGGGAGAAUGACACUUUGACCGGCACCGAGCACCAAUUUAUUCACACACGCCUCAUCUAUGCGCGCCACGUCGCGCAUGACAUCCGAACCUUUCCUUCUUCUCUUGUGCUCCUGUCAAUUAGACGCAUUUUUCCUAUAUUUUGAAACCGAAAUCGAAUUUUAUUCGGGUGCGGAAGGGAGAGAAAAGGAAGAGCAAGCGCCGUAAGUGAGGCGAUUAAUAAAAAUCGGACUUACAAGAUAAUAACAAUCGAAACAAAUGAAUAUGGAUGAUGAAACAUUAAACAGGCUUGCAGUUGAAGCUUUACUAGAAGAAGCUAAAUUAGGUGCACAAAGGGCUGAAAUAAUGGGACCU